rnacentral:rRNA from 1 species
GUGCCUACGGGACGCAGCAGUGAGGAAUAUUGGUCAAUGGCCGCAGGGCUGAACCAGCCAAGUCGCGUGAGGGAUGACGGUCCUAUGGAUUGUAAACCUCUUUAGGCGGGGAGCAAUGCCGGGCACGUGUGCCCGGAGGGAGAGUACCCGCAGAAUAAGCAUCGGCUAACUCCGUGCCAGCAGCCGCGGUAAUACGGAGGAUGCGAGCGUUAUCCGGAUUUAUUGGGUUUAAAGGGUGCGUAGGCGGAUUUUUAAGUCAGCGGUAAAAUGUCCGGGCUCAACCCGGGCCGGCCGUUGGAACUGGG